rnacentral:lncRNA from 1 species
AUCAUGGAGAGUUUCACAAAUUACAGAUUAAUUAAAAAUUACCCUGCUUGGAAAUAUAAAUGUGCUACCUCGUGCUUUCAUAUCUCCCAGCUGCCAUCUCCUACUCAACAUGGCAGCAUCCUCACGCUGACACUGCGGACCAGAAUAUUGGCCACUGCCUGGCUGACUGAUUCUCCUUUGCAGUUCAAAAUAGAGGGUAACACAGAGUUUAGGUAGCCAGUUUCUGGAAGUAAUAGAGAUGGUUCCUCUGCAGUGGAAAGGAGGUUCGCUUUGUGACAUUGCAGAUUUAAAAGAAUCAGUAUACUGAAUUAAAGUAUGCUGAUUAUAACUUAGAGCUUAAAAAAUAGGAGAGUUCCUUUUUGCUCUGCCAGAAAGAGUAGCAGUUAUGCCCCUCAUAAAGUCAAAGCAAGUCUGCUUUUAUAAUGAAAAUUAUUAUUAGAUGGUGGAGACUUGGUUCAAUGGCUGUAUCAUUGCCAUCUUACCAGCUUUCUGAAAGUGGUAUCCAUCCACCAACUACUGAUUCAUUUUCCCUUAUUAAAAUCACAGACUAUGCAAAAAAGACACUGAUAUAUUCCUAAGUCAAUAUAAUAAAUAGGAAAUGCAACAAAAUUUAGUCACUUUAGUUUCUGCAGAGAAUGAACCACGUGAAGAACCCUUCUGAGCAGUAAGGCAAUGUGCUAAUUUAAUACAAUGAGGCUUUGAAGGAUGCAUUUUUCAGGGGCACAAGGGGAAGAAAUGUGCCAGAGUAUUGCUGCAAGCAAGGGGCUCUGGCUGCACUGGAACAGGUGGGUUUCAGGGAGACUGUUGCCUCCCUGUCCCUCUGGCUGAGCUGCAUCAGGGUACACCUGGGCAGGGAAGUGGGCUCAGCUCUGCUCAGGAAGCCAGCGCUGCUCCUAGAGCAGAUACAGUGAGUAGACAGGGAAGGUAAAAAAAAGGGUGAGAAACAAAAGCAGUAUUAAAAGUCUGAGGGGAGGGAAAAAAAUAUAAUAAAAAGAAAUAUGUGUUUUGUGGACUUCUGAAAUAGAGUUGUUUUCUAGAAGAUAUCUUCAUUAUCAAGGCACAUUGGAUAAGGCUUUCAAUUUAUACCAGUGUAAGCUGCAGGAUCUAAAUUAUACUUCAUUGUACAACAAAGAUGGAGCUACCCUCUGAAAAGAACCUGCUAAUAUAGGCUUGUAAUUUCAAUUUUUCACACAUUUUUCAGUCUGUAUUUCAGUAGAAAUGUAAUCUACCUAAUCACUGCUUUAGGCUAAUAGCCUCUAAUACAGUAUAGCAUCAAAAAUGUCAAACUUAUGAUAAAAAAAGGGGGGAAAGUCAUAAGUGUUCAGUGAAACCACUUCUUUGAAUACUUUUCCACAAGAUUUGUGCAUUCUCUUUGGUGGGUUUUGUGGAAUACAUAUUAAUCACAUCUGAAAUAAAAAGGGAAAGCUGUACCACCAUGAAACCCUUCGAUGUCUAAUGUAUGUAUUACAGCUAUAAAGCCAUUAAAUAUACUUUUAAGGAAUCAUUGGCAUAUAACCUAAAAGAAGAAAAGUGUUUUACACUGUGCAUGUCAGAUAUAUCUUGUUGUAGCUUGUUAAGACCUUUACUUCAGCUUUUUAAAAUGAAAAACUGUCAAUUUUUGCAAUCUGUUGGGCAAGGUGGUCAAAUUCUUUAAAAUAGUAAAAAAAAAAAAUCUAUUGUAAAGUUAAAAGGAGAGAAGGAAUAGAUUCUACAGUAUUCCUGCUAUUUAAUUACACCAAAUACUUUAAUUACCCAACUCACUCAUGUAUGACAAACCCCUGAAAUCUCAUAGGUAAUUUGAUAGUACAUACAAGAUGAAACACCUGCAUGUCAAUAUUUUGGUCCAUUUACAUAACUCCCUUAAACAGGGAGGCAAUGGAAAAUCUGCAACAACGAUUUAACAAGUCUUUAUGUGUAUAUUGCUGUCCUUCCAUCUCUUCCAUUAAUAUUUGUUCUGUUUUUCUCCUUCAUGCUACAGCAGUAAUGCUGAUGAUGCAACCCCAGACAGUCAUUUGUGUGUAAUAGCUUCAGGCAUGAAAUGCUUGGUUUGCCCUCCUGAGUAGCUAUCACGGGCCGUGCUCCCCAGGUCUGUAUGUGUGAGAGGUCAUGAAAAUGAGGAGUUUCCUUAAACUUUAGGGAUGUGGGUAAUACACAGAGUAAAAAAGGAACUGAGUGAAUGAGUAAUGUAGCCAUAGUGGAAUUGAAGGCAGGAGUAAGAAACUUUUUGCUCAAAACAACAGAUUUAUUUGAUGUUGGGCAUUUGCUUUUAUAAAAGAUGAAAAUAAGCAAGAGCGUAAGACAAGAAAAUAAACCGAUUAUUCUUAAGUCUAUUUUGCCAUACAUAAAGCCUAACAAAAAUUGUUCACAAUAACAACAACUUUUUUCCUGUGGACAAAGACUGUCUGGGCUCAUGACAGCUUUCUCUUCUGUUAUUUAGAUAGUAAAUACAGAAGGAAAGCUGAUUAUAUGCCAAUAUAUUAAAUAUUCUACUUUUAAACGCUCUCAGAAAGGUCAGGAAUUGCAUCACUGACCAUUCUGGUUUUUUAUUCUAUUUAGAAUUUCACAACUUCUGCCCAUCUCCCCCCACAUACGUAUUCAACAGAUUUUGCAACUUUCCUUUAAAUCGUCUCAAAUGGUCUUAGCUAAUAUGAUAAAUGUCAAGUAUCUUUGAAAAGGUCUGAAAAACUAGUGUCACAAAAUUAAUUUGAGGCUAAGCAAUUUGAAUCUUUCUGUCCUUGUAAUCAAAACUUCAAAAGAAAGAUCCAGAAAUAAAAAUUUAGUUAGCUGUUGGAGUAUGUUUGAGUGUAUUGGAAUAUGGAAUAUGGAAAAUUGUUUGACCUAGGAGAAUAUUAAUUCGUCUGCAGAGAAAAGAGUACCUGCAAAUGUUGUGAUUUUUCUUCUGGGUCAGAGAGUGGGAAAUGAGGCUAGAUAACUAACAGUAUAAUAAAAAAUAUGCUAUGUGCUUUUAUGCUUCUGUACUCCUAUAUAGUAAUGUAUUACUAAAUAUUGUAUAUCCCCAAAACAGCAUUCAACAAAAAUGUUAAAUUGAUUGGACCUGUUCUUUUCAGAUUAUUUUUCCAGAAAGUUAAGGGCAAUAUUCAAGAAAGUUGAAAUAUCUGAAAAUAUUCAGAAUGUAAAUUCAAUCCAUGUGAGUAACUAGUGGUCUGUCUAGAAUGCCGGUGUA